rnacentral:lncRNA from 1 species
UGCUAUCUGUGGUUUAAAUAACUAUUAGUAUACCGUGUGGUGUGUAUUAUCUAUUAGCAUAUUCUUCAAAAAGUUUUCACUCACGCUUUUGAUGAAUGCUAUUCUCAGCUUUGAAAAAUAAUUGAGAUGUCUCAUGUUUCUAACAAUUGACAAAAAUCCUUCUGUUAAAAAUCAUCUCUUGAUGAACACAUCCUUUGGUCUG